CACACGGGAUGUGAGCCUGUCCCUGCGCAGGCAUCUCCUGCCACCAGGGGGCGCUGUGCUGGAUGAGGUCUUCAGUGAGCGGGUGGGUGAGGUGGUGCAGGGCUGUAAGAUGACUUCUUUGCACCAUCACUCUGGAGCCUUGAUGAAGAUGCCGGACGGGACCACAGCCUCUGUGCAUAAAAACAUCAUGAAGGAGGCAAAAGAAGAACUCAACCCAAACCGCUUGCUGACCUAGCCUGAACACACUCUGAGAAUCAUCGAUUACAGUCCUAUGGAGCAAAUGCACCUGGGCACGCUGCGCAGGAGCACUGUUGAAACAAAGUUCUUCAGAUAUCAAGACAUCAAAAUUGGACAAAUUGUUGAGG